rnacentral:rRNA from 1 species
UACAGAGGGUGCGAGCGUUAAUCGGAAUUACUGGGCGUAAAGCGUGCGUAGACGGUAGCGUAAGUCAGAUGUGAAAGCCCCGGGCUCAACCUGGGAACUGCAUUUGAGACUGCUCUGCUCGGGUGCGGAAGAGGGAAGCGGAAUUUCCGGUGUAGCGGUGAAAUGCGUAGAUAUCUGAAGGAACACCAGUGGCGAAAGCGGCUUCCUGGUCCGACACCGACGUUCAGGCACGAAAGCGUGGGGAGCAAACAGG